AUUGAACGCUGGCGGCAGGCCUAACACAUGCAAGUCGAACGAGUGGCGGACGGGUGAGUAAUGUCUGGGAAACUGCCCGAUGGAGGGGGAUAACUACUGGAAACGGUAGCUAAUACCGCAUACUAUCGGAUGUGCCCAGAUGGGAUUAGCUUGUAGGUGAGGUAACGGCUCACCUAGGCGACGAUCCCUAGCUGGUCUGAGAGGAUGACCAGCCACACUGGAACUGAGACACGGUCCGUACUCCUACGGGAGGCAGCGGUGGGGAUGAUUGCACAAUGGGCGAAAGCCUGAUGCAGCCAGGCCGCGUGUAUGAAGAAGGCCUGCGGGUGGUAAAGUACUUUCAGCGGGGAGGCGUUACCCGCAGAAGAAGCACCGGCUAACUCCGUGCCAGCAGCCGCGGUAAUAC
rnacentral:rRNA from 1 species